rnacentral:misc_RNA from 1 species
UGAACAUCCAUCGGACAGUCCGUGUACGGACAGUCUGCACCGGGUUCUCACAUUCUGCCUCUCGGUGGAUGUGGUGCCUCAGAGUAUGCUGUGCAGAGUUUGCAACGACUCAACUCUUGGACCUCAACAGUCUGGGUUGGCCUGUCUGCAGGCUGCACAUGUCUGGUGCCAGUGCUCUCUCUAUCCAGCCUGGUGCAUCGACAAAUAAACCUCACUU